GCAUCAGGGCGUAAUAUGAAGAUCCCAAGCAGAACAUAAUACUGCAAACAUUUGCCGUUUUUUGAAGCAGCGGGGGUCUCACCAGCGCUAGGCUGCCAAGCUUCUCGCUGAGACUUUCGUAUCCGUUGUUCGACAAUGUCUCCUAGGAUUUAUCAAUGAAGGCAGUAACGAGAAGAUGAAGCAAAUAUUUAAUAUCAAUGCAUCGUAGAAACAACUUAUUUUAAAUAGGAUAAUGUCAUGAAACCCGUUUCAUUGGAAAUAUAAUCAGCUAGAAAAAAAAAUAAAAAAAAAAAAACAAAUUAUGAUUAAUGAAAAUAUUCAUUUCGACCUCUGUUC